GAUGAAUUAAAAGGGAAUUGAAGAAAUUAGUCCACAGUAAAUUGUCGAAGUGCUGCAUUGAGCAUUUGUUCCAAUUCUCAUAUUUUGGUUUAAAAGUGGCAAUUAAGUUAAUAAUACGACCGUAUCAGCCCAUCCUUGCAAGCUUGUUGUCUUGGUGUUUUCUUUAAAUCAGGCCUCACCUUUGAGCCUGAAGUCCAGUAUGUUGCUAAAUCCUGUCGAUUCCACCUUAAAAAUAAUCCCUGCACCCGCCACUUUCUUAUGCAAAAGACGCUUCUAAGGAGAUUGUUCGUGUUGUAGUAAUUUUUUGCAUUGAUUUUUUUGUAAUUCCCUCUUAACUGGUCUUCCCAGAAGCCGUACUGCCCUGUUAAUGUGUAAUGAAUGCUGCCGCCAGGCUGAUUUUCCUCUCCAGUCACUCCUGUUAUUCCUUACAGUGGCUUCUCAUAUCCUAUAGGAGUCAAGUUAAAAUCUUAACUCUUGCCUAUAAAGCAAUUAACUCUACCCAGUUAUUCCUUCACUGAUUCAUAGGUAUGCCCCUUCUUGAUCUCUCUGCUCUGCCGGUGACCGCCUCCUGUCCGCUCUUCGCACCCAAAAUGCUAACUCACGCUUGCAAGACUUCUCAUGGAUAGCUCUUCUCCUUUGGAACAGCCUGCCUACCACCAUCAGACUUUCCGCUAGUCUUUAAUUGUUUAAGAAGUCCCUCAAAACCUAACUCUUCAGGAAAGCUUAUGGCCUCCCAGAGUGACUUCUACCUCACAUACCGGUCUCCUGCUCUCUUCUAAAGGGCAGCACUCCACACUCUUUCCUCCAGUUCUGCUUCACGCCCACCUUGUUUGGUGGCUAUCCCACUCAAUGCCUGUCCAAUUGUGCUUUAUACUCCACUCCUAUAGACUGUAAGCUCAUUUGAGCAGGGUCCAUGUCAGACUACUGAUACUGUAACAUUUUGUAUUUGUCUCAUUUAUGGUUUAUUUUCCCCCUCUUUAUAACAUUGUAAAGCUCUGCUGAAUAUAU